rnacentral:rRNA from 1 species
GCGAACGCUGGCGGCAGGCCUAACACCUGCAAGUCGAACGGAUCCUUCGGGAUUAGUGGCGGACGGGUGAGUAACACGUGGGAACGUGCCCUUUGGUUCGGAACAACUCAGGGAAACUUGAGCUAAUACCGGAUGUGCCCUUCGGGGGAAAGAUUUAUCGCCAUUGGAGCGGCCCGCGUCUGAUUAGCUAGUUGGUGAGGUAACGGCCCACCAAGGCGACGAUCAGUAGCUGGUCUGAGAGGAUGAUCAGCCACACUGGGACUGAGACACGGCCCAGACUCCUACGGGAGGCAGCAGUGGGGAAUCUUGCGCAAUGGGCGAAAGCCUGACGCAGCCAUGCCGCGUGAAUGAUGAAGGUCUUAGGAUUGUAAAAUUCUUUCAGCGGGGACGAUAAUGACGGUACCCGCAGAAGAAGCUCCGGCUAACUUCGUG